GAAAUGCGAUAAGUAAUGUGAAUUGCAGAAUUCAGUGAAUCAUCGAAUCUUUGAACGGACAUUGCGCCCGCCAGUAUUCUGGCGGGCAUGCCUGUUCGAGCGUCAUUACAACCCUCAGGCCCCCGGGCCUGGCGUUGGGGAUCGGCGGAAGCCCCCUGCGGGCACAACGCCGUCCCCCAAAUACAGUGGCGGUCCCGCCGCAGCUUCCAUUGCGUAGUAGCUAACACCUCGCAACUGGAGAGCGGCGCGGCCACGCCGUAAAACACCCAACUUCUGAAUGUUGACCUCGAAUCAGGUAGGAAUACCCGCUGAACUUAAGC
rnacentral:misc_RNA from 1 species